rnacentral:lncRNA from 1 species
GUGGGUCUGUCACUCCUCAACACCUUCCCCUGCUCCCUCCGGCCAGGCUGGGCAUGGCUGCUGCCAGGGCAGGGAGCUCAGUCCUCAGAGCAAGGUGCCAGGCUGCCAAGGUGCCAGGCUGGGGGACAAGGGACAAAGGUCCUGGAGGCACAGCAGGGUGU